GACGUAGGAGGCGAGCGUUAUCCGGAUUCACUGGGCGUAAAGCGCAUGUAGGCGGAUGUCUAAGUCGUGUGUUAAAGCCCCUGGCUCAACUGGGGGAGGUCAUGCGAGACUGGAUGACUUGAGGGCAACAGAGGCACGUGGAACUCCCGGUGUAGCGGUGGAAUGCGCAGAUAUCAGGAGGAACACCAAUGGCGAAGGCAGCUCGCUGGGACGUGACUGACGCUGAGACGCGAAAGCGUGGGGAGCAAACAGG
rnacentral:rRNA from 1 species